rnacentral:rRNA from 1 species
GAUGAACGCUAGCUACAGGCUUAACACAUGCAAGUCGAGGGGCAGCAUGGUCUUAGCUUGCUAAGGCCGAUGGCGACCGGCGCACGGGUGAGUAACACGUAUCCAACCUGCCGUCUACUCUUGGACAGCCUUCUGAAAGGAAGAUUAAUACAAGAUGGCAUCAUGAGUCCGCAUGUUCACAUGAUUAAAGGUAUUCCGGUAGACGAUGGGGAUGCGUUCCAUUAGAUAGUAGGCGGGGUAACGGCCCACCUAGUCUUCGAUGGAUAGGGGUUCUGAGAGGAAGGUCCCCCACAUUGGAACUGAGACACGGUCCAAACUCCUACGGGAGGCAGCAGUGAGGAAUAUUGGUCAAUGGGCGAGAGCCUGAACCAGCCAAGUAGCGUGAAGGACGACUGCCCUAUGGGUGGUAAACUUCUUUUAUAAAGGAAUAAAGUCGGGUAUGGAUACCCGUUUGCAUGUACUUUAUGAAUAAGGAUCGGCUAACUCCGUG